rnacentral:rRNA from 1 species
AGAAUGACUCUCGGCAACGGAUAUCUAGGCUCUUGCAUCGAUGAAGAACGUAGCGAAAUGCGAUACUUGGUGUGAAUUGCAGAAUCCCGUGAACCAUCAAGUCUUUGAACGCAAGUUGCGCCCGAUGCCAUUAGGUUGAGGGCACGUCUGCCUGGGUGUCACAU